GGGAGUAUGGCUUAGUGGUAGAGUACUUGCCUAGCAUGCAUGAAGUCCUGGGUUCGAUUCCUCAGUACCA
rnacentral:tRNA from 1 species